GAUGGCGCUGGAACCCGGGGUGUUGUACUCU
rnacentral:rRNA from 1 species